rnacentral:piRNA from 1 species
UGAAGAGACAGCAGGCAUGUCUUACAUGGU